rnacentral:tRNA from 1 species
GCAGAGAUGGCUCAUCGGUUAAGAGCACUGACUGCUCUUCCAGAGGUCCUGAGUUCAAUUCCCAGCAACCACA